AACCAUAGAAACCUGCGGAGUACCUGCGGAGGGAUCAUUACCGAGUUUACAACUCCCAAACCCCUGUGAACAUACCUAUACGUUGCCUCGGCGGAUCAGCCCGCGCCCCGUAAAACGGGACGGCCCGCCCGAGGACCCUAAACUCUGUUUUUAGUGGAACUUCUGAGUAAAACAAACAAAUAAAUCAAAACUUUCAACAACGGAUCU
rnacentral:misc_RNA from 1 species